GCCGAUUUGGUCCUAGUCCCAACUUUAGCUAUUUUCAAACUGCCACAUGCAAGCUAAUUAGCAGACCAGUGAAGUAUCCCUCCUUCCUCGGUUUACCUAUAGAGACAACCAUGAAGAAGAUCCCAGGUAUCAGGCCCAAACAACCAAGCCGACCACACCUAGUAAAUUCACCACAACUGCAGUGCUAGACAUUAGACAAUUAGGGUAACCUAGAUCUAGUUAAAAAACACCAAGGGGGUAAAAUACGUGCCAGCCACCGCGGUUAUACGUAUUCCCUAAAGCUAAACUACAACGGUUAAAAGGAUGGUUAAAAUAGUCUAUUUUAGUUAUUGCCCCAAGCCAGCGGUAGAAAGCUAAUCUCGGGAGAAUUUUUCGAAACUAAUCUUUAAAUUUGAUGCCAUGAAACCUAAGCCCUAAACCAGGAUUAGAUACCCUGUUAUACUUAGAAGUUAACUACCUUAAACACCAGAGAACUACGAACCUAAAGUUUAAAACUCAAAGGACUUGGCGGUUUUCCACACCUCCCUGGAGGAGCUUGCCAUUAAACCGAUAAUCCACGUUAUACCUCACCAACUCUUGUAAACCACAGCUUGUAUACCAUCGUCGUAAGUCUACUUCCUAAGAAAGUUGACAAAAAGAAAAUCUUCCAGACGUCAGAUCGAGGUGCAGCUCAUGAGUUGGGAAUCGGUGAGCUACAAUGUUUCAGCCAACCAGUGGAAAGAAAAAUGAAAACUUUUUUGAAAUUGGAUUCAGCAGUAAAAAUCAGCAGAAAAUGAUACUGAAGUGAGCUCUGGAAUGCGUACACAUCGCCCGUCACUCUCGCCCAGCUAACUUUUAGUAAGGGGAGAAAAGUCGUAACAUAAUAGGCAUAUCGGAAGAUGUGCCUGGAAAA
rnacentral:ncRNA from 1 species